rnacentral:rRNA from 1 species
ACGGAACUUUUCGGAGUUCAGUGGCGGACGGGUGAGUAACGCGUGAGAAUCUGCCUUCUGGUCGGGGACAACCAUUGGAAACGGUGGCUAAUACCGGAUGAGCCUACGGGUAAAAGAUUUAUUGCCAGAAGAGGAGCUCGCGUCUGAUUAGCUAGUUGGUGAGGUAAAGGCUCACCAAGGCAUCGAUCAGUAGCUGGUCUGAGAGGAUGACCAGCCACACUGGGACUGAGACACGGCCCAGACUCCUACGGGAGGCAGCGGUGGGGAAUUUUCCGCAAUGGGCGAAAGCCUGACGGAGCAAGACCGCGUGAGGGAGGAAGGCUCUUGGGUUGUAAACCUCUUUUCUUGGGGAAGAAAAAAAUGACGGUACCCAAGGAAUCAGCAUCGGCUAACUCCGUGCCAGCAGCCGCGGUAAUACGGAGGAUGCAAGCGUUAUCCGGAAUUAUUGGGCGUAAAGCGUCCGCAGGUGGCACUUCAAGUCUGCUGUCAAAGGUCGGGGCUUAACCCCGGGAAGGCAGUGGAAACUGAAGCGCUAGAGUGUCGUAGAGGUAGAGGGAAUUCCCGGUGUAGCGGUGAAAUGCGUAGAGAUCGGGAAGAACAUCGGUGGCGAAAGCGCUCUACUGGACGACAACUGACACUCAGGGACGAAAGCUAGGGGAGCGAAUGGGAUUAGAUACCCCAGUAGUCCUAGCCGUA